AGUCAAUAGAUACCCCGGUAGUCCACGCCGUAAACGAUGAGUACUAGGUGUAGGAGGUAUCGACUCCUUCUGUGCCGCAGUUAAACACAAUAAGUACUCCGCCUGGGAAGUACGGUCGCAAGAUUAAAACUCAAAGGAAUUGACGGGGGGCCCGCACAAGCAGCGGAGCAUGUGGUUUAAUUCGAAGCAACGCGAAGAACCUUACCUAGACUUGACAUCUCCUGAAUAGCGCAGAGAUGCGUGAAGCCCUUCGGGGCAGGAAGACAGGUGGUGCAUGGUUGUCGUCAGCUCGUGUCGUGAGAUGUUGGGUUAAGUCCCGCAACGAGCGCAACCCCUAUUAUUAGUUGCUACCAUUAAGUUGAGCACUCUAAUGAGACUGCCUGGGUUAACCGGGAGGAAGGCGGGGAUGACGUCAAAUCGUCAUGCCCCUUAUGUCUAGGGCUACACACGUGCUACAAUGGUGAGAACAACGAGAUGCAAUACCGCGAGGUGGAGCAAAACUUGAAAACUCAUCUCAGUUCGGAUUGUAGG
rnacentral:rRNA from 1 species